UGUGAACCAUGAGUCUAGAAGAAC
rnacentral:piRNA from 1 species